CCAUACCACCAUACCACCCUGAACGCACCCAAUCUCAUCUUCUCUUGGAAGCUACGCAGGGUAGGGCCUGGUUAGUACUUGGAAUGGAGAACUGGGUUUCUGAGGA
rnacentral:rRNA from 1 species